CACGUAGGCGGACUGGUAAGUCGGGUGUGAAAGCCCUCGGCUCAACCGAGGAAGUGCAUCCGAAACUAUCAGUCUUGAGUACGGGAGAGGAUCGCGGAAUUCCCGGUGUAGAGGUGAAAUUCGUAGAUAUCGGGAGGAACACCAGUGGCGAAGGCGGCGAUCUGGACCGAUACUGACGCUGAGGUGCGAAAGCGUGGGGAGCAAACA
rnacentral:rRNA from 1 species